UACAGAGGGGGCAAGCGUUGUUCGGAAUUACUGGGCGUAAAGGGCGCGUAGGCGGCCUUCUAAGUCGAACGUGAAAUCCCCGGGCUCAACCCGGGAACUGCGUCCGAUACUGGAAGGCUUGAAUCCGGGAGAGGGUAGUGGAAUUCCCGGUGUAGUGGUGAAAUGCGUAGAUAUCGGGAGGAACACCAGUGGCGAAGGCGACUACCUGGCCCAUUCUUGACGCUGAGGCGCGAAAGCUAGGGGAGCGAACGGG
rnacentral:rRNA from 1 species